AUUGAACGCUGGCGGCAGGCCUAACACAUGCAAGUCGAACGAGUGGCGGACGGGUGAGUAAUGUCUGGGAAACUGCCCGAUGGAGGGGGAUAACUAAUGGAAACGGUAGCUAAUACCGCAUACCAUCGGAUGUGCCCAGAUGGGAUUAGCUAGUAGGUGGGGUAAAGGCUCACCUAGGACACGAUCCCUAGCUGGUCUGAGAGGAUGACCAGCCACACUGGAACUUAGACACGGGCCAGACUCCUACGGGAGGCAGCAGUGGGGAAUAUUGCACAAUGGGCGCAAGCCUGAUGCAGCCAGGCCGCGUGUAUGAAGAAGGCCUUCGGGUUGUAAAGUACUUUCAGCGAGGAGGCGUUACUCGCAGAAGAAGCACCGGCUAACUCCGUGCCAGCAGCCGCGGUAAUAC
rnacentral:rRNA from 1 species